UUCUAUGUUUGAAAGUUUCUGCAUUUUUAUUUUAUAUAUGUUGCAGAAGUUGGGUGAGAUUCCAGCUUCUUUUUUUUUUUUUUUGAACUACGAGAAGACUCCAGUUAUUUUCUAUUGAUUUUAUUGUUCUAUUCCUCCUGGAGUGGGUUUUUCAAAACCUGUCUCAGGCCCGAACAUAACCCAAUCUUUGACUGGCUUCGGGCUUUGUGCCAAAAGUACACCCCUAGUUCUCAGGCUCUGCUGAGUCUUGAGUAGGAUGUGAAAUGGCCUUGGGCAUCCAGGACUUGGGCUUUGAAGGGAAUGACCUGAACAGGUUGUCAGGCUCAAGCUCAGAGUUCAGGUUUUUUUGAACUCAAAUUUCAAGCUUGAAAUAUUGAACUUCAGUCAAACUUCAAAUUUCAAGCAGUAUACUAACGGUACAAGCUAAUCAUUAGUAUAGUAUGGGAUUACGAAGCUUUAUGAAUUAUAGUACAAGUAAUAGUAAUAGUAAUAGGUGUUCUUUUCCCAUUCUACAUAGGCUUUUCCCUUUCUUGUUCUUCUAUUACAAUAAUUUCUAUUCAUACAAAAAAAAAGGGAGAAAAUUAUGACUAAUAAAACUAUAAUUUUCUCAUAUAUGUCAUAUCUUGGCCUAUGAUGUUCUUAAUCAAGCUGCAUGAUUCACUCCAUUAUCUAUCUCAUCUAGCUACUGAAAGUGGAAAUUUAUCAGUAAGCUAAUAGAAUGUGGACAAAUCUGUGACAUGGAUUUCAUAUCUUGAAUAAAUUAAGCAUAUUCAUAUAAUGGAUUAUGUUAUGACACUUAAUCUUAG
rnacentral:lncRNA from 1 species